rnacentral:rRNA from 1 species
AGCGAACGCUGGCGGUAGGCCUAACACAUGCAAGUCGAACGGCAGCACAGUAAGAGCUUGCUGUUACGGGGGGCGAGUGGCGGACGGGUCAGGAAUACAUCGGAAUCUACUUUUUCGUGUGGGAUAACGUAGGGAAACCUACGCUAAUACCGCAUACGCCCUAGCGUUGAAAGCAGUGGAUCUUCGCACCUUGCGCGGAUGAAUGAGCCGAUGAUGGAGUAGCUAGUUGGCGGGGUAAUGGCCCAGCAAGGCGGCGAUCCGUAGCUGGAGUGAGAGGAUGAUCGCCGACAUUGGAACGGGGACAGGGUCCAGAGUCCUACGGGAGGGAGCAGUGGGGAAUAGGAGACAGUGGGCGGAAGCAUGGUCCAGCCAGACCGAGUGGGUGGAGGAGGCGUUCGGGGUGUAAAGACCUUUUGUUGGGAAAGAAAAGCAGCAGGUUAAUACCACGCUGUUCUGACGCUACCCAAUGAAGAAGCACCGGCUAACUUCGUG